rnacentral:rRNA from 1 species
UGCGUAGGUGGCCGAUUAAGUCAGUGGUGAAAGCCUACAGCUCAACUGUAGAGGUGCCAUUGAUACUGGUCGGCUUGAGUAUGGACGAGGUAGGCGGAAUUUGUGGUGUAGCGGUGAAAUGCAUAGAUACCACAAAGAACACCAAUAGCGAAGGCAGCUUACUGGACCAUAACUGACAUUGAGGCACGAAAGCGUGGGGAGCGAACAGGAUUAGAUACCCUGGUAGUC